rnacentral:rRNA from 1 species
CAAUAGCGUAUAUUAAAGUUGUUGCAGUUAAAAAGCUCGUAGUUGAAUAUCUGGGCUUGCCGGGAGGCGGCCUCCGGCCGACCUCCCCGCGGGUUCAUCCUCGCCCUCCGGGGCGUCGUUUACUGUGAAGAAAUCAGAGUGUUCAAAGCAGGCUUUAGGCUUGAAUACAUUAGCAUGGAAUAAUGAGAUAGGACCGAGUCGUAUUUUGUUGGUUGCGCGGUUUGGUAAUGAUUAACAGGGACAGUUGGGGGUAUUCAGAUUUAACUGUCAGAGGUGAAAUUCUUAGAUUUGUUAAAGAUGAACAACUGCGAAAGCAUUUACCAAGGAUGUUUUCAUUAA